rnacentral:rRNA from 1 species
AACGAUGAACCUCACUUGUGGGGGGAUUAGUGGCGAACGGGUGAGUAACACGUGAGUAACCUGCCCUUAACUCUGGGAUAAGCCUGGGAAACUGGGUCUAAUACCGGAUAUGACUCCUCAUCGCAUGGUGGGGGGUGGAAAGCUUUUUGUGGUUUUGGAUGGACUCGCGGCCUAUCAGCUUGUUGGUGAGGUAAUGGCUUACCAAGGCGACGACGGGUAGCCGGCCUGAGAGGGUGACCGGCCACACUGGGACUGAGACACGGCCCAGACUCCUACGGGAGGCAGCAGUGGGGAAUAUUGCACAAUGGGCGCAAGCCUGAUGCAGCGACGCCGCGUGAGGGAUGACGGCCUUCGGGUUGUAAACCUCUUUCAGUAGGGAAGAAGCGAAAGUGACGGUACCUGCAGAAGAAGCGCCGGCUAACUACGUGCCAGCAGCCGCGGUAAUACGUAGGGCGCAAGCGUUAUCCGGAAUUAUUGGGCGUAAAGAGCUCGUAGGCGGUUUGUCGCGUCUGCCGUGAAAGUCCGGGGCUCAACUCCGGAUCUGCGGUGGGUACGGGCAGACUAGAGUGAUGUAGGGGAGACUGGAAUUCCUGGUGUAGCGGUGAAAUGCGCAGAUAUCAGGAGGAACACCGAUGGCGAAGGCAGGUCUCUGGGCAUUAACUGACGCUGAGGAGCGAAAGCAUGGGGAGCGAACAGGAUUAGAUACCCUGGUAGUCCAUG